GGCGUGCUUAACACAUGCAAGUCGAACGGAAAGGCCCUGCUUGCAGGGUACUCGACGUGGCGAACGGGUGAGUAACACGUGGGUGAUAUGCCCUGCAAUUCGGGAUAAGCCUGGGAAACUGGGUCUUAUACAGGAUAGGAGCCAUUUUUAGUGUGAUGGUUGGAAAGUUUUUGUCGGUGUAGGAUGAGCUCGCGGCCUAUCAGCUUGUUGGUGGGGUAAUGGCCUACCGAGGCGGCGACCGGUAGCCGGCCUGAGAGGGUGGACGGCCACAUUAGGUGUCUGAGAUACGGGCCCAGAUCUGCGUAUCGGGACGGCAGUCAGUCGGGGAAUACUUGCACAAGUGGGCGCAAGCCUGAUGCAGCGACGCCGCGUGGGGGAUGACGGCCUUCGGGUUGUACACUCCUUUCGCUAGGGACGAAGCUUUGUGUGACGGUACCUAUAUGAGAAGCACCGGCUAACUACGUGCCAUCAGCCGCGGUA
rnacentral:rRNA from 1 species